AUUGAACGCUGGCGGCGUGCCUAAUACAUGCAAGUAGGACGCAGUUGCGAACGGGUGAGUAACGCGUAGGUAACUACCUGUUAGAGGGGGAUAACUAUUGGAAACGAUAGCUAAUACCGCAUACUAUUAGAUGGACCUGCGUUGUAUUAACUAGUAGGUAGGGUAAUGGCCUACCUAGGCAACGAUACCGAGCCUGAUGGAGCGGGGGAUCGGCCACACUGGGACUGAGACACGGCCCAGACUCCUUCGGGAGGCAGCAGUAGGGAAUCUUCGGCAAGGGGGGGAAACCUGACCGAGCAACGCCGCGUGAGUGAAGAAGGUUUUCGGAUCGUAAAGCUCUGUUGUUAAGGAAGCGGUACUUAACCAGAAAGGGACGGCUAACUACGUGCCAGCAGCCGCGGUAAUUC
rnacentral:rRNA from 1 species